rnacentral:rRNA from 1 species
AUUGAACGCUGGCGGCAGGCCUAACACAUGCAAGUCGAACGGUAACAGGAAGAAGCUUGCUUCUUUGCUGACGAGUGGCGGACGGGUGAGUAAUGUCUGGGAAACUGCCUGAUGGAGGGGGAUAACUACUGGAAACGGUAGCUAAUACCGCAUAACGUCGCAAGACCAAAGAGGGGGACCUUCGGGCCUCUUGCCAUCGGAUGUGCCCAGAUGGGAUUAGCUAGUAGGUGGGGUAACGUCUCACCUAGGCGACGAUCCCUAGCUGGUCUGAGAGGAUGACCAGCCACACUGGAACUGAGACACGGUCCAGACUCCUACGGGAGGCAGCAGUGGGGAAUAUUGCACAAUGGGCGCAAGCCUGAUGCAGCCAUGCCGCGUGUAUGAAGAAGGCCUUCGGGUUGUAAAGUACUUUCAGCGGGGAGGAAGGGAGUAAAGUUAAUACCUUUACUCAUUGACGUUACCCGCAGAAGAAGCACCGGCUAACUCCGUG